UGCAAGUCGUACGAGAGUUUUUAACUCUAGUGGCGGACGGGUGAGUAACACGUGAGAAUUUGCCUUUAGGAGGGGGACAACAAUUGGAAACGAAUGCUAAUACCCCAUAUGCUUUCGAGUAAAAUGGAUUUUAUCUGCCUAAAGAGAAGCUCGCGGCUGAUUAGCUUGUUGGUAAGGUAAAAGCUUACCAAGGCGACGAUCAGUAUCUGGUUUGAGAGGACGAUCAGACACACUGGAACUGAGACACGGUCCAGACUCCUACGGGAGGCAGCAGUGGGGAAUUUUCCGCAAUGGGCGAAAGCCUGACGGAGCAAUACCGCGUGAGGGAAGACUGCCUAUGGGUUGUAAACCUCUUUUUUCAGGGAGGAAUAAAAUGACGUGUACCUGAAGAAUAAGCAUCGGCUAACUCCGUGCGAGCGGCCGCGGUAAGACGGAGGAUGCAAGUGUUAUCCGGAAUCACUGGGCGUAAAGCGUCUGUAGGUGGUUUAAUAAGUCAACUGUUAAAUCUUGAGGCUCAACUUCAAAAUCGCAGUCGAAACUAUUAGACUAGAGUAUAGUAGAGGUAAAGGGAAUUUCCAGUGGAGCGGUGAAAUGCGUAGAGAUUGGAAAGAACACCGAUGGCGAAAGCACUUUACUGGGCUAUUACUAACACUCAGAGACGAAAGCUCGGGUAGCAAAUGGGAUUAGAUACCCCAGUAGU
rnacentral:rRNA from 1 species